GAUGAACGCUGGCGGCGUGCCUAAUACAUGCAAGUCGAGCGAACGGACGAGAAGCUUGCUUCUCUGAUGUUAGCGGCGGACGGGUGAGUAACACGUGGAUAACCUACCUAUAAGACUGGGAUAACUUCGGGAAACCGGAGCUAAUACCGGAUAAUAUUUUGAACCGCAUGGUUCAAAAGUGAAAGACGGUCUUGCUGUCACUUAUAGAUGGAUCCGCGCUGCAUUAGCUAGUUGGUAAGGUAACGGCUUACCAAGGCAACGAUGCAUAGCCGACCUGAGAGGGUGAUCGGCCACACUGGAACUGAGACACGGUCCAGACUCCUACGGGAGGCAGCAGUAGGGAAUCUUCCGCAAUGGGCGAAAGCCUGACGGAGCAACGCCGCGUGAGUGAUGAAGGUCUUCGGAUCGUAAAACUCUGUUAUUAGGGAAGAACAUAUGUGUAAGUAACUGUGCACAUCUUGACGGUACCUAAUCGGAAAGCCACGGCUAAUUACGUG
rnacentral:rRNA from 1 species